UACGAAGGGGGCUAGCGUUGCUCGGAAUCACUGGGCGUAAAGCGCACGUAGGCGGAUCUUUAAGUCAGGGGUGAAAUCCUGGAGCUCAACUCCAGAACUGCCUUUGAUACUGGGGAUCUCGAGUCCGGGAGAGGUGAGUGGAACUCCGAGUGUAGAGGUGAAAUUCGUAGAUAUUCGGAAGAACACCAGUGGCGAAGGCGGCUCACUGGCCCGGUACUGACGCUGAGUGAGCGAAAGCCAGGGGAGCAAACGGG
rnacentral:rRNA from 1 species